GACGAACGCUGGCGGCGUGCUUAACACAUGCAAGUCGAACGAAGUGGCGAACGGGUGAGUAACGCGUAAUCAACCUGCCCUUCAGAGGGGGACAACAGUUGGAAACGACUGCUAAUACCGCAUACUGAAGGAGGGGAUUGCGUCGGAUUAGCUGGUGGGAGGGGUAACGGCCCACCAAGGCGAUGAUCAGUAGCCGGUCUGAGGGGAGGAACGGCCACAUUGGGAAUGAGACACGGCCCAGACUCCUAAGGGAGGCAGCAGUGGGGAAUCUUCCGCAAUGGACGGAAGUCUGCCGGAGCAACGCCGCGUGGAGGAUGACGGCCUUCGGGUUGUAAAGCUCUGUUAGUCGGGACGCGGUACCGAACUAGAAAGCCACGGCUAACUACGUGCCAGCAGCCGCGGUAAUUC
rnacentral:rRNA from 1 species